UACGUAGGUGACAAGCGUUGUCCGGAUUUACUGGGUGUAAAGGGCGCGUAGGCGGGAUAGCAAGUCAGUCGUGAAAUGCCGAGGCGUAACCUCGGAGCUGCGAUUGAAACUGUUAUUCUUGAGUAUCGGAGAGGAAAGCGGAAUUCCUAGUGUGGCGGUGAAAUGCGUAGAUAUUAGGAGGAACACCAGUGGCGAAGGCGGCUUUCUGGACGACAACUGACGCUGAGGCGCGAAAGUGUGGGGAGCAAACAGG
rnacentral:rRNA from 1 species